UACGUAGGGGGCAAGCGUUGUCCGGAUUUAUUGGGCGUAAAGAGCGUGUAGGCGGCCUGAAAGGUCAGCUGUGAAAACUCGAGGCUCAACCUCGAGACGUCGGUUGAAACCAUCUGGCUAGAGUCCGGAAGAGGAGAGUGGAAUUCCCGGUGUAGCGGUGAAAUGCGCAGAUAUCGGGAAGAACACCCGUGGCGAAGGCGGCUCUCUAGUACGGUACUGACGCUGAGACGCGAAAGCGUGGGGAGCGAACAGG
rnacentral:rRNA from 1 species